GUGACCUCAUCGGAAGGGCAGCAGAAGAAACCCAGAUGCCAGUAACCCAGCUCCACAAACAUUAGCACCAUCAACUUUUACUGGCAAGAGCCCUCGCAGUGCGAGACUUCAACAGCUGAUUCGCUGAGGAUUCGCAGGAAAGAGAGCUGUGAAGGGAAAUGGGAUUGCUUCCCAUCCGACAGCAGCACGAACCCACCCAUGCUCGGGGGAAAUGAUCGAAUUCUCGUCCGUUAACUCAGAGAGCUGUGUGCUCUCCUUAAAGCCACGGCAGAAAUCCUGCUACAAACCGUGCCAUGUUUUCUUCUCCCUCCGUCAGGACCGAGUCAUUUCUCCCAGGCUGGUUGGUGAGCUUGGGGCAUCGCUGGCCCCAUCCGUGCCCAUGUGCAAGGAGAGGCUGCAAAGAGAGGCUGCCCUGAGCCGCGGUGCCUUGCAGAGCGCGCAGUGCACGGGGCCGAGCAGCCUUAAUUACAGCUCUUCAAAGGCCCGGCUCUCUGGGCAAUCUAGCGUGGCCAAAUUGGUGUUGUUUUUAAUUAAAAGUUGCAGAAAGUCGGGCCUGUUAGGUCAAAGGAAUGCUCUACUGCUCCGACCCAUCUUCUGCUUGGAAACUGUUUA